UAGGGAAUCUUCCACAAUGGACGAAAGUCUGGUGGAGCAACGCCGCGUGAGUGAAGAAGGGUUUCGGCUCGUAAAACUCUGUUGUUAAAGAAGAACAUAUCUGAGAGUAACUGUUCAGGUAUUGACGGUAUUUAACCAGAAAGCCACGGCUAACUACGUGCCAG
rnacentral:rRNA from 1 species